CCCGGGCAUUCAUUCUCAAAUCAUUCUCCGCUCCGCUGAGACCUUUAUCGGCUUCGAGUAUAGAAAGGCUUUCGAAAGCGUUGUUCAGACACAACUCGAAUCCUUCCGAGAAUCACAGCAUUAUGAAGUACCUGACGGCAUGCCUCCUUCUCCUGUCCAUCGCCAUGAGUGUGAUGCCCGCCGACGCUCAGAUGAUAGCUCAGACUGUUCGGUCUAUCGUUGACGGAUUCCGCUUCACGGAAGCUUUCAUCGAUCAACUCAUGGAAUUCGCCCUCGAGGUCAUCGAAACGGUUAUCCUGACCUUCCUCAGCCUGUUCGUCACUAUCUGAAUGCUCCCAGGAGCAACUCAGGGGUUGAAAUCGAUUUGGAGCCCAGAUAUGCGGUUCAGGAGACGCGAGCAGCGUCGAUCGUCAGACCUCUCAAAUCUAUCCAAUAAAUUUUUUUG